GAUGAAGAACGUAGCGAAAUGCGAUAAGUAAUGUGAAUUGCAGAAUUCAGUGAAUCAUCGAAUCUUUGAACGCACAUUGCGCCCUCUGGUAUUCUGGCGGGCAUGCCUGUUCGAGCGUCAUUUCAACCAUCAAGCCCUGCUUGUGUUGGGGUCCUGCGGCUGCCCGCAGGCCCUGAAAACCAGUGGCGGGCUCGCUAGUCACACCGAGCGCAGUAGCACAUCUCGCUCAGGGCGUGCGGCGGGCUCCAGCCGUUAAAGCACCCACCUUUCGCAAGGUUGACCUCGGAUCAGGUAGGAAUACCCGCUGAACUUAAGCAUAUCAAUAAGCGGAGGA
rnacentral:misc_RNA from 1 species